rnacentral:rRNA from 1 species
UACGAAGGGGGCUAGCGUUGUUCGGAUUUACUGGGCGUAAAGCGCACGUAGGCGGAUUGUUAAGUCGGGGGUGAAAUCCUGGAGCUCAACUCCAGAAUUGCCUUCGAUACUGGCUUUCUAGAGGCUGGAAGAGGUUAGUGGAAUUCCCAGUGUAGAGGUGAAAUUCGUAGAUAUUGGGAAGAACACCAGUGGCGAAGGCGGCUAACUGGUCCAGAUCUGACGCUGAGGUGCGAAAGCUAGGGGAGCAAACAGG